rnacentral:misc_RNA from 1 species
CUCCUUGUUAACGAAAUCACAUAUUUCAUGCCAAGUGGGAGAAAGAAAAAGAAGUUUUCGGCUUGCUCCAAGACAAAUUAUGCAAAUCAGAACAAGCGAUAUAAGAGCUGACUUAUGAUGGGCUUUAGUUGACUUUCAGGCGGCCGCAUGCUCAUAAUGUUUAGAUUCCUACUAAUGAUCGCUUCAACCUAAUGCAAGAAUUUGCCUAUCCUAGAUUAAAUAUUAUACUCAGAUUCAUGUAUUCAUUAUAUACAUGAAAGUAAAGCUCAUAUUAGCUGCACCCUAUUGUUCAUAGCAUUAGACAACUUUUCACUGAACUAGUUUGUAAAGGUUCAUUUACAAAUGAAGGCUAAGAUGUGAAGAAAAAACUAUUCCAGGCAGAGCUUGUAGAGCCUCCAGAAGAAGAAAAUAUGACAGCAAGAUGAACAAAUAAUAAAAGCGCAAAUAUUUGUAUCAAAUUUAUCCAUUAUUUUAGGAAAAAAUUAUGUCAGAACUCCAUUAUAGAAAGACACUUGUAUAUCUGUGAUUGCCUGCUGCAGAAAUUUACACAUGCUGAUUUAAUUUUCUCCGGUCAGGUGAUAUAACUGAGGCUCAACAGCAUUUAUGCUGCAAGCAGCUUCUGAAUGUCCUUCUGCAACAAGAAUGAGGAGGCUUAGAUUAAGCAAAUUACUGAAUGCUCACUUUCAGAAUUAUUAUUUUGUUUUUAAAAUCUACAGCUUGGUUACAAUCCGCAAUGCAUACCCAAUGAAUACGGUUGAUCUUACAUUUUAGUAAUCAUCUAACUGUUCCUACAUCCUGACCAGAUUUAAUAAAUAAAAAAAAAGGCAGAAAAAAAUUGGCAUGACCACCAUAACUUUGUAUCAAUCUUAAGCCAGGGCUGCAAUGAAAAUACAUGUGCUUCUUGGUCAAAAUGUAUCCCUCACUUCUAUUUGGUGCCUGUUGAGAACCUCUCAGCUUCUCAGAGUUCAUUUCUGACAAGUUCUCACAUAAGUACCUUUCAAGUAUUCAAAUUGGUCAAAGAAAUGGGCAGAGAUUCAAAAGCCCAAAUGCAAAAACUCAAAGGUGGCCAUUGUAAUCUUCAAAAGCCACCGAGAUCUCGAAAAGGAAUGCAUUUUUUAAGGCUAAAAAACCAACAUCUUUUAUUACAACUAAUUACAACUUAUCAGUUAUCAGAAUGGUCUGACCAGUUCAGACAAAAUGGAUCAUGUUAUUUCAAUAAUAGCAGUAGUGGACUGAACAGAAAUCCUUAAUUUUUCUUAAAAAAUGACUUCAUUUAAAAUUUGCAUAUAGCUCUCAUCUCUUAGAAUCAUGAAAAAAACAAAGAAAAGACAUCACCACUUCCUCCGUUACAACAAUUCAGAAGAAAUCAAUUAUUCAAGGAUGUCCAACUAUUGAAAAUAAAAGAAGAAAUAUACCUCGAUUUGGAAAGGUGAUGUUGUUGGUGGAUAUCUCUCCACAACCUUACCAUUCUUGUCCACCAGGAACUUCUCAAAAUUCCACUUGAUCACAUCACCUAAAAAUCCUCCAGCACUCGACUUCAGGAAUUUAUAAACUGGAGCUGUAUUUGGUCCAUUUACAUCCACCUUAUCAAAUAUUGGGAAUUCUGCUUUGAACCUGGUACAAGCAAAUUGUUUGAUCUCAGGAUUUGACCCAGGCUCUUGUCCUCCAAAUUGAUUACAAGGGAAAGCAAGAAUUUCAAAU